CCUACGGGUGGCUGCAGUGGGGAAUUUUGGACAAUGGGGGCAACCCUGAUCCAGCCAUUCCGCGUGAGUGAAGAAGGCCUUCGGGUUGUAAAGCUCUUUCGCAAGGGAAGAAAACUUACUCAAUAACACUGGGUGAGGCUGACGGUACCUUGAUACGAAGCACCGGCUAACUACGUGCCAGCAGCCGCGGUAAUACGUAGGGUGCGAACGUUGCUCGGAAUUUGUGGAGGUGAUUCUUGAAGUCAGAUGUGAAAUCCCCGGGCUCAACCUGGGAACUGCGUUUGAAACUACAAGGCUAGAGUAUGGCAGAGGGGGGUAGAAUUCCACGUGUAGCAGUGAAAUGCGUAGAGAUGUGGAGGAAUACCAAUGGCGAAGGCAGCCCCCUGGGUCAAUACUGACGCUCAUGCACGAAAGCGUGGGGAGCAAACAGGAUUAGAUACCCUUGUAGUC
rnacentral:rRNA from 1 species